AUAAGAACUCAUUGGUGAACUUAUUUACCAAUAGUUUUAGAUUUAAUGCUCUUCUUUAAAGAGCACCAAGUAUUUUAUGGCCCCUACCCUCAACAAAUCGAAUUGAUAACUUCAUAGUACUACAAGCAACGUCGUGAUAUUGGUUGGUAGCAAAGCAAUAGGGGCAAGUGAGCCCACAUCGACGCAUGCAGCCAGCAGCCUCACAUGCCUAGCUACUAACCUUACCACUUCCAUCCCUAUAUCAUAUCUUCGAUCACCAUUGCACUGAUCACUUUGUGAUCUCUUCCAACCACUCUAAAAAAGAAAAAUACUAUAAUCACCAGAUUGAAGGCAGAAACUAAAAGCUUUUCCCUACUCGCAGUCAUAAUUGAAUAAUAGAUCGAUAACCUUAACACUAGCCUUGGCUUUUUUCCCCACUUAUCCCCACAGUUGGAUUGCAGCUUCAUCGAUCUUCUCCACGCAUGCAUCUUCAUAAUUACAUAAUAGACGACAAUAAAGUAGAUAAAACUAAUUAAUGUCGACGUCUUCUUUUAAUUUCUUCCCUAACAAAUAACAGUACUAGCAGAGUUUAACCAGGGUUUUGAAUAUUUCCUUUAGCAGGUGGGCUGGUAUAUUAAUAAUCUUCUUACAGAGACCUUGCUAGCACCAAGUCCAUCAACAAGGAAACCCUAUUCUCCAUAGGUUCUUCUGAGAAUCUAACCCAAUCUUCAAAUGGAUACAAGAAAUCCCCAAAUUUGCAACACAUAAUCAUUGUUGGUGCUCUGCCAUAGAUGGAAAUUGCAAAGAGAGAGAACCAAACCUGGGCUGGUGAGAACGGCGUGGAGGUGGCCGGCGGAUUUAGACUGGGCGGCGACGGCGAGGUGGGCGGCGAUGUCAACCUGCACUGCUUGGAAGCCUUGGAUUAGAGAGAGAAAGCUGUUUGAUAUAUUUUAUUAGAGUGAAAUGUGUAGGAGAUCGAGAGAGGAGUUUUUUUAAUUGUUAUUACAAAAGAUAAGCUCAAAAUGACGAAAGUUCUUUCACUUUA